rnacentral:rRNA from 1 species
GACAGAGGUGGCGAGCGUUGUUCGGAUUCAUUGGGCGUAAAGAGCGCGUAGGCGGUCCUUUAAGUCGGUGGUGAAAUCCCGGGGCUUAACCCCGGAAUUGCCCUCGAUACUGGAGGACUUGAGUGCGGGAGAGGGUAGUGGAAUUCCCAGUGUAGAGGUGAAAUUCGUAGAUAUUGGGAAGAACACCAGUGGCGAAGGCAGCUACCUGGACCGCAACUGACGCUGAGGCGCGAAAGCGUGGGGAGCAAACAGG